AUUGAACGCUGGCGGCAGGCCUAACACAUGCAAGUCGAGCGGAUGAAGGGAGCUUGCUCCUGGAUUCAGCGGCGGACGGGUGAGUAAUGCCUAGGAAUCUGCCUGGUAGUGGGGGAUAACGUCCGAAAACGGGCGCUAAUACCGCAUACGUCCUGAGGGAGAAAGUGGGGGAUCUUCGGACCUCACGCUAUCAGAUGAGCCUAGGUCGGAUUAGCUAGUUGGUGGGGUAAAGGCCUACCAAGGCGACGAUCCGUAACUGGUCUGAGAGGAUGAUCAGUCACACUGGAACUGAGACACGGUCCAGACUCCUACGGGAGGCAGCAGUGGGGAAUAUUGGACAAUGGGCGAAAGCCUGAUCCAGCCAUGCCGCGUGUGUGAAGAAGGUCUUCGGAUUGUAAAGCACUUUAAGUUGGGAGGAAGGGCAGUAAGUUAAUACCUUGCUGUUUUGACGUUACCAACAGAAUAAGCACCGGCUAACUUCGUGC
rnacentral:rRNA from 1 species